rnacentral:rRNA from 1 species
GACGAACGCUGGCGGCGUGCUUAACACAUGCAAGUCGAACGAAGUGGCGAACGGGUGAGUAACGCGUAAUCAACCUGCCCUUCAGAGGGGGACAACAGUUGGAAACGACUGCUAAUACCGCAUACUGAAGGAGGGGAUUGCGUCUGAUUAGCUAGUUGGAGGGGUAACGGCCCCCCAAGGCGAUGAUCAGUAGCCGGUCUGAGUGGAGGCACUGCCACAUUUGGACUGGGACACGGCCCAGACUCCUAAGGGAGGCAGCAGGGGGGAAUCUUCCGCAAUGGACGAAAGUCUGACGGAGCAAAGCCGCGGGAGUGAUGACGGCCUUCGGGUUGUUAAGCUCUGUUAAUCGGGACGCGGUACCGGAAUAGAAAGCCACGGCUAACUACGUGCCAGCAGCCGCGGUAAUAC